UUCCUUCUUCAUUUUUACAGCUCCAAGUUUCGCUUGUAGAUCAUGUUUCUUCACUCUGAACAACUUUUAAGAAUUGUUUAAAAGCAUAUCUGCAGGUUACUAAUUCCCUUAGUUUAUCUUUAUAUGGGAAUGCUUCUAUUUUGCUUUUAUUCCUGAUGAGUAUUUUUGUUACACAUAAAAUUUUACAUGGAUAGUUCUUUUAGCAAUUGAAAAAUGUUCUUCUAUUUUCCUCUGGUUUCCAUAAUUUCUGAUGAAAAAUCCAUAGUCAUUUAAAUUAUUUUUUCUGUAUAUACAAUUAUUGGUUUCCUUUGGAUACUCUGAAGAUUUUUAAAAAGUUAUCCUCAGUUUUCAUCAGUUUUAAUGUCAUAUUUCUGGAAGUGUUUUUUUAAAGUUUAUCAUGUUUGUGUUUUACUGAACUUUCUGAAUCUGUAAAUGCGUGUUUCAUAAAAUUUGGGAAGAUUUUGCCAACUGUUUCUCCAAACAUUUUUUCAUAUUUAUUUUCUCUCGAAAUUCUAAUGGCAUGGAUUUAGACCUUUGAAAACUUUCCCAGGGGUCCCUGAGUCUCUGCUCAUUUUUAAGAUCAUUUUUCUCUAUGUUCAGUUUGUAUAAUUUAUAUUCAUCUAUAUUCAAGUACUUUACUCUUUUCUAUUUCAUCUAAAUUCUGCUUCAGAGUCCAAUGAAUUCUUUUAAUUUCAAUGUUAAAUAGUUUCUAUUUAUCUAAUGAGAAUGUUUAUCUUUACAUUCAUUUCCAGAGUGUUCACCUUGACUCCAUGGAUAAUUAUUACAAUAGCUAUUUUAAAAGCUGCCUCUGGUAAUUCCACCAUAUGGUUUUGGUUCAUCUUGGGAUUGGCACCAAAUGAUUUUCUUAGCCCUUAGCAUUGGUUAGCUUCCCCUGUUUUGCGUGUAUUUAGGUUUGUGCAAAAGUAAUUGGGGUUUUUGCCAUUACUUUUGAUGGCUAAAGCCACAAUUAUAUAUGUAUGUAUGUGUGUGUGUUUUUACAUACCAAGUAAUUUUGAAAUGUAUCCUGGACAUUUUGCAUAUUAUUUUGUGAGACUCUGGAUCCUGCUAAAAUCUUCUAGAAAAUGUCGAUUUUUGUUUUGUUCUAAUAGGCAAUCAAUCCAGUUAGGCUGAGAGUGCAAGUUCCACCUUACUGCCUGUGAUUGGUGUUUCUAACAACAGUUCAGUUUUCAAAGCCUUUGCUGUGCUGUUUGAAUCUGCCUGCAUAUGUAUAUACCACUGAGGGGUUAGACUGGGAUUUAGGCUAUGGUUUAUUUUACAGUCCAGUUCCUAAAGCCUUUGCUGUGCUUUGCUGGCUCUGCUCCACCCAGGCACAACCCAGAGGGAAGUCUUAGACUUAUGCAAGUUCAUGCACAGAAAGUGGGGAAGAGCCUUCUUCAACCUCUCCUCUCUAGAUUUUCCUUGACAAUAGUUCCCAAAGGCCACUUUUCUAGUCUCUCUGAAUGAAAAGAUAAGGUUCUUUCUGGAUUUUAUCCCCGCCUAGACGGUUGGGGAAUUCCAUGAGACUGGAACUACAUUUAGGGCAAAGUGGUGGGAAAGAAGAAAUGGAGAAAAAAAUCAGGGACUCUCUUUUUCUCAGUCUUCUUAACAGAGAGGAGCAUCUUUUCUUAGGGCUUCAGGUGCCUGUGAUGCCUCAGAAGUCUCGGAAUAGUUCUGCUACCAGGGCUAUCCUCACAACAUGGCUGGGGAAAAAAGAGAAAACAAAAAUUUUAAGGGGAGGGGAAAUUUUUCCUCACUCUCUGACAUGUGGAGUUUUACCUUCCCUUUCCUUUAGCCUUCCCUUUCCUUUGGCCAGAAUAGAGUUUUUCUUUCUAUGCCUGCUAUACAUUUUUUUUUUUUUUUAGAUGAAGUCUUGCUCUGUUGCCCAGGUUGGAGUGCAGUGGUGUGAUCUUGGCGCACUGCAACCUCCCAUGAUUCUUGUGCCUCAACCUCUCGAGUAGCUGGGAUUAUAGGCAUACACCACCAUACUCGGUAUAUAUAUAUAUAUAUAUAUAUAUAUAUAUAUAUAUAUAUAAAAUUUUUUAAAUAUAUAUAAAAAUAUAUAUAAAUAAUAUAUAUAAAUUUUAUAUUUAUAUAUAUUAU
rnacentral:lncRNA from 1 species